UACGGAGGGGGCUAGCGUUGUUCGGAAUUACUGGGCGUAAAGCGCACGUAGGCGGCUUUGUAAGUUAGAGGUGAAAGCCCGGAGCUCAACUCCGGAAUUGCCUUUGAUACUGAGAAGCUUGAGUCCGGGAGAGGUGAGUGGAACUGCGAGUGUAGAGGUGAAAUUCGUAGAUAUUCGCAAGAACACCAGUGGCGAAGGCGGCUCACUGGCCCGGUACUGACGCUGAGGUGCGAAAGCGUGGGGAGCAAACAGG
rnacentral:rRNA from 1 species